rnacentral:rRNA from 1 species
CCUACGGGAGGCAGCAGUGGGGAAUCUUGCACAAUGGAGGAAACUCUGAUGCAGCGAUGCCGCGUGAGUGAAGAAGGCCCUUGGGUCGUAAAGCUCUUUCGUCGGGGAAGAAAAUGACUGUACCCGAAUAAGAAGGUCCGGCUAACUUCGUGCCAGCAGCCGCGGUAAU